UCAGGUCUGACAGUGACAGAGGGAAGUGAUGUAAUACAGUGCACACAUCAGGUCUGACAGUGACAGAGGGAAGUGAUGUAAUACAGUGCACACAUCAGGUCUGACAGUGACAGAGGGAAGUGAUGUAAUACAGUGCACACAUCAGGUCUGACAGUGACAGAGGGAAGUGAUGUAAUACAGUGCACACAUCAGGUCUGACAGUGUCAGAGAGGGAAUGAUGUAAUACAGUGCACACAUCAUGUCUGUCAGUGUCAGAGGGAAGUGAUGUAAUACAGUGCACACAUCAGGUCUGACAGUGACAGAGGGAAAUGAUGUAAUACAGUGCACACAUCAAGUCUAAUGAUAGUGACAGAGGAAAAGUGAUGUAAUACAGUGCACACAUCAGGUCUGACAGUGACAGAGGGAAGUGAUGUAAUACAGUGCACACAUCAGGUCUGACAGUGACAGAGGGAAAUGAUGUAAUACAGUGCACACAUCAAGUCUAAUGAUAGUGACAGAGGAAAAGUGAUGUAAUACAGUGCACACAUCAGGUCUGACAGUGACAGAGGGAAGUGAUGUAAUACAGUGCACACAUCAGGUCUGACAGUGACAGAGGGA